GACGAACCGAGCGAACGUUAUUCGGAAUCACUGGGCUUAAAGGGCGCGUAGGCGGGCCAUCAAGUCAGGGGUGAAAGCCCCCAGCUCAACUGGGGAAGUGCCUCUGAUACUGGUGGCCUCGAGGGAGGUAGGGGCGUGCGGAACUUCCGGUGGAGCGGUGAAAUGACGUAGAUAUCGGAAGGAACACCGGUGGCGAAAGCGGCGAGCGGCUGACCUCGUUCUGACGCUGAGCG
rnacentral:rRNA from 1 species